CGCAAGCGUGACCCAGCGACGCCGCGUGGAGGACGAAGUCCUUCGGGAUGUAAACUCCUGUCAGGGGAAAGAAAGUUCUGAUCUACCCCAGAGGAAGGCACGGCUAACUCUGUGCCAGCAGCCGCGGUAAGACAGAGGUGCCAAGCGUUAGGCGGAAUCACUGGGCUUAAAGCGUGUGUAGGCGGAGCGUUAAGUGCCUUGUGAAAUCCCACGGCUCAACCGUGGAACUGCUGGGCAUACUGGCGUUCUUGAGCCACCUAGGGGCGAGCGGAACAAACGGUGGAGCGGUGAAAUGCGUAGAUAUCGUUUGGAACGCCGAUGGUGAAAACAGCUCGCUGGGGGUGUGCUGACGCUGAGACACGAAAGCCAGGGGAGCAAACGGGAUUAGAUACCCCGGUAGUCCUGGCCGUAAACGAUGUCCACUAGAUCGAGGUGGCUCUGACGCCGUCUCGGUCGAAGCAAAAGUGCUAAGUGGACCGCCUGGGAAGUACGGUCGCAAGGCUA
rnacentral:rRNA from 1 species